GAUAUUAAAUUAUAUUCAGAUUUACUAUACCAGCCAAUAUUAUUUUGGUAAUGUGUUCGAUAGCUUUAACAUUGUAUUGCUUGAUUGAAUAAUGUAACUGCAAAGUUUUAAGUUGUAAAUCCAACAGUUAAGUUUUGCAAAUUCAUUUGUUUACCUUGUUUCAAACCUUGGCAGACAUUGAACGCCAGGCCAAUUUAUUCAAACAUUUAGACUGAAUUUGGGCACACGUCCAACGGUGUCACUGGGCAAUUGAAGCCCUGAGAGGAGGAUAUAGCAAAACCAUAAGGACCAUGAGAUGACAACAUGAAAAAAUUAGAGUACACAAGAGACAAGGGAAGUAAAAACCUGGCCAGAGUACGUAGAAACGUGGAAUAAAAUAGCUUUCGCUGUCUCUGGGAAAUCGCAUGCUUGAGAGCAUUGAGAAGAGAAUCUCGCAGAAAGCAAAUAGACCAUGACAACAUGAACAACAAUCAAAGUAAAAAACUGACCAGAGGCCGAAGAAAAGUGAAAUAGAUAUAUGUAAAAACAGAUGGUUACCGUUGCCUUUGAUUAAAGUUUAACAUAUAAAGUACGUCUUUGUUAAUAGAAUUGUUGAAAAUAGUGACUUUUUGGGUUUUAGUUGUCACUGGGAAAUUGCAUGCCUGAAAGGAGGUUCCAGCAUAAAGCAUACGGACCAUGAAAUGACAACAUGAAAAUACAGAACACAAGAGACAAGGGAAGUGCAAACCUGACCAGAAGAUGUAGAAAGCUGACACUGAGAAACCACAUACAUGAGAGGAGAAUCUAGCAUAAACCAUAUGGAACAUGAGAUGACAACAUGAAAAGAAAAUAGUACACGAAAGGGAAGGGGAGUAAAAUCCUGAUGAAAGGCCGUAGAAAGGUGAAAUACAACAGAGAUAUAAAAAACGG
rnacentral:lncRNA from 1 species